rnacentral:rRNA from 1 species
CAACAUGAGAGUUUGAUCCUGGCUCAGAACGAACGCUGGCGGCAGGCUUAACACAUGCAAGUCGAACGCCCCGCAAGGGGAGUGGCAGACGGGUGAGUAACGCG